rnacentral:rRNA from 1 species
CCCUUAGAUGUUCUGGGCCGCACGCGCGCUACACUGAUGCAUUCAACGAGUUUUUCCUGGUCCGAGAGGAAUGGGUAACCUUUUGAAAGUGCAUCGUGCUAGGGAUAGACUAUUGCAAUUAUUGGUCUUCAACGAGGAAUUCCUAGUAGACGUAGUUCAUCAGACUGCAUCGAUUACGUCCCUGCCCUUUGUACACACCGCCCGUCGCUACUACUGAUUGGACGUUUAAGCAAGAUUUUUAAACACUGACAGUGUGUAGUUCACGCUAUACUACAGUGAGAAGAAGAAGAUCGAGCUUACUUGUCUAGAGGAAGUAAAAGUCGUAACA